UACAGAGGUCUCAAGCGUUGUUCGGAUUCAUUGGGCGUAAAGGGUGCGUAGGUGGCGCCGUAAGUCAGGUGUGAAAUUUCGGAGCUUAACUCCGAAACUGCAUUUGAUACUGCGGUGCUUGAGGACUGGAGAGGAGACUGGAAUUCACGGUGUUGCAGUGAAAUGCGUAGAUAUCGUGAGGAAGACCAGUGGCGAAGGCGGGUCUCUGGGCCGAUACUGACGCUGAGGAGCGAAAGCGUGGGGAGCAAACAGG
rnacentral:rRNA from 1 species